rfam:Moorella glycerini strain NMP genome assembly, contig: M_glycerini_NMP_DRAFT_scaffold-14
AGAUAUACAAUCCUCCGAGCCAUCCUGGCCUAAAGGAGCAACCCAUGGCAGGCUGGCCUGGACCGCUGGUCCACGGGGUGUACCGGGAAACGGGUAUGCCUUCCAGGUAUUGAAAAGGAGGGGGUUAGCUAUAGGA